rnacentral:rRNA from 1 species
CGAAAGCCUGACGGAGCAACGCCGCGUGAGGGAGGAAGGCUCUUGGGUUGUAAACCUCUUUUCUCAAGGAAGAUAAUGACGGUACUUGAGGAAUCAGCAUCGGCUAACUCCGUGCCAGCAGCCGCGGUAAUACGGAGGAUGCAAGCGUUAUCCGGAAUAAUUGGGCGUAAAGCGUUCGUAGGUGGUUCUGUAAGUCUGCUGUUAAAGCGUGUAGCUCAACUACAUAUAGGCAGUGGAAACUACAAAACUUGAGUGCGUUCGGGGUAGAGGGAAUUCCUGGUGUAGCGGUGAAAUGCGUAGAUAUCAGGAAGAACACCGGUGGCGAAGGCGCUCUACUAGACCGCAACUGACACUGAGGGACGAAAGCUAGGGGAGCGAAUGGGAUUAGAUACCCCAGUAGUCCUAGCUGUAAACGAUGGAUACUAGGCGUUGUCUGUAUCGACCCGGACAGUGCCGUAGCUAACGCGUUAAGUAUCCCGCCUGGGGAGUACGCACGCAAGUGUGAAACUCAAAGGAGUUGACGGGGGCCCGCACAAGCGGUGGAGUAUGUGGUUUAAUUCGAUGCAACGCGAAGAACCUCACCAAGGCUUGACAUGUCCGGAAGUUCUGGGAAACUAGAAUGUGCCUUCGGGAACCGGAACACAGGUGGUGCAUGGCUGUCGUCAGCUCGUGUCGUGAGAUGUUGGGUUAAGUCCCGCAACGAGCGCAACCCUCGUCCUUAGUUGCCAGCACUUCGGGUGGGCACUUUAGGGAGACUGCCGGUGACAAACCGGAGGAAGGUGGGGAUGACGUCAAGUCAUCAUGCCCCUUACGUCUUGGGCUACACACGUACUACAAUGCUAUGGACAAAGAGCAGCCAACUAGCGAUAGUGCGCUAAUCUCAUAAACCAUGGCUCAGUUCAGAUCGCAGGCUGCAACUCGCCUGCGUGAAGUAGGAAUCGCUAGUAAUGCAGGUCAGCAUACUGCAGUGAAUUCGUUCCCGGGCCUUGUACACACCGCCCGUCACACCAUGGAAGUUGGUCACGCCCGAAGUCGUUACCCUAACCGAAAGGAGGGGGACGCCGAAGGUAGGACUGAUGACUGGGGUGAAGUCGUAACAAGGUAGCCGUACCGGAAGGUGUGGCUGGAUCACCUCCUUUUCAGAGAGACCUAACCACUCAUACGUCGAAAGCAUUAUGUAAUUAGAUGAUGAGAAGGUACAUCCCAGGUCGUAACGUAGAUUUUGGUAAUAACUUUGGCUUUCAAACAAUUAUAGGUUCGGUAAUUAAUUAGUUGAUUAUUUAUUUAUUUUUAGAUAUUAAUUAGUUAAUUGAUUAUCACUUAUGGGCUAUUAGCUCAGGUGGUUAGAGCGCACCCCUGAUAAGGGUGAGGUCCCUGGUUCGAGUCCAGGAUGGCCCACCUGAAACAGUAAGCAGUGAGCAGUAAACAGUGUUGAAUAAUUUGAUAACUGUUAAUUGUUAAUUGAUAACUGUAGAUGGGGGUAUAGCUCAGUUGGUAGAGCGCUGCCUUUGCAAGGCAGAUGUCAGCGGUUCGAGUCCGCUUACCUCCACCAAAUUUUAUAACUAGAUUUAAUUUUAGUCAUAAGUAAGUAAAUAAUUGGAAAGUUUCAGCACCUAGACUUAGAUAUAUAUAUUUGAGUAUAUAUAAAAGUCGGAAUGCUGGAUUGUAAUCCAGUCAGAACCUUGAAAACUGCAUAUUCACGCGAAAUGAUUUAGGUAGUCUUUAAUUGAUUAUUUAGUUUCUAAUUAAUUGGUUAAGGAAAGUAUCUAGAUAUCCUAUUUUGUUAAAUGAUUGUAUUGGAACAUCUUUGUGGUCAAGCUACAAAGGGCUAGUGGU